AGCGAACGCUGGCGGCAGGCUUAACACAUGCAAGUCGAACGCCCCGCAAGGGGAGUGGCAGACGGGUGAGUAACACGUGGGAACGUACCCUUGGUUCGGAAUAACUUGGGGAGACUCAAGCUAAUACCGGAUAAGCCCUUAUGGGGAAAGGUUUACUGCCGAAGGAUCGGCCCGCGUCUGAUUAGCUAGUUGGUGAGGUAAUGGCUCACCAAGGCGACGAUCAGUAGCUGGUCUGAGAGGAUGAUCAGCCACACUGGGACUGAGACACGCCCAGACUCCUACGGGAGGCAGCAGUGGGGAAUAUUGGACAAUGGGGGCAACCCUGAUCCAGCCAUGCCGCGUGAGUGAUGAAGGCCUUAGGGUUGUAAAGCUCUUUUACCCGGGACGAUAAUGACUGUACCGGGAGAAUAAGCCCCGGCUAACUUCGUGCCAGCCGCCGCAGUAA
rnacentral:rRNA from 1 species